UACGAAGGGUGCAAGCGUUACUCGGAAUUACUGGGCGUAAAGCGUGCGUAGGUGGUUUGUUAAGUCUGUUGUGAAAGCCCCGGGCUCAACCUGGGAAUGGCAAUGGAUACUGGCAAGCUAGAGUGCGGUAGAGGGUAGUGGAAUUCCCGGUGUAGCGGUGAAAUGCGUAGAGAUCGGGGAGGAACACCGAUGGCGAAGGCAGCCCCCCUGGGCUGAGAUUGACGCUCAGGCACGAAAGCGUGGGGAGCAAAAGGG
rnacentral:rRNA from 1 species